rnacentral:lncRNA from 1 species
AGGCAAAGAGGAUUUUGUCUGGAAGUCCUCUUUGAGCAAAGACAUGGAGUCCACAUGAGCAAAGACAUGGAGGAGAAAAACGGCAUGGCACGAAGGGAACUGCAGGAGGGAAAAGCAAAGAGAAGAUGCGAUGAAGCCACAGAGCAGGAAGAGGCCUCGGUUGCUGUCCUGACCAGUCCUCUCACUUCACCAUCAAGGCCAUGAAACCCAGAGAAGGGAUGUGACUUGAGAUCCAGCCAGACCCAGAUCCAGAGUUGGGAGGGCAGGGGUGCUGCAAUAUGAUCACAGAAUCGACACUCGACCCCUCCCAGCGACCUGGCAAAGUGGGCACUAACUCCAUUCUGCAGAGGUGGAAACUGAGGCCAGUGUGGGGAAUGGAAAUUGACUGGGCUAAGCUUAGAAGCCUGAACUCUGACCCCAAAGCUCUCUCUUGUACCUUUGACCCCCUUGUCUUGUCCUGCAGCUCUUAAGGUUACAGUGAGCCAGUUUUUCAUUUUGCCUUUCUCCAAUGGAGGCACCUUGGAAAAUAGAGAUCUGGCUGGAGCAACCUGGAACAUUUGAUGAUUGGGCUUAUUUAUAUUU